GACCAGCUGAGGUCAUGUGCAGAAUCCAGCUCUGCCCGGCACACCAACCAGGCUGCCGUCCCCAGGCCGUGCGGUUUCCCGCUCUGCUCCCGCUGAUCCUCACAGCCCUGCAGCCCGCAGCCGUCCCCACAGAGCCGCCGCCGCCCUGCCCGUGGGAGAUGAACAAGGUGAAGGACAUCGUGGAGGUGAACUGCACCGGGCGGGAUCUCGGUGCGGUGCCCGCCAGCCUGCCCGAG
rnacentral:lncRNA from 1 species